UACAGAGGGUGCGAGCGUUGUCCGGAAUCACUGGGCGUAAAGGGCGCGUAGGCGGCGCGGUAAGCGUGCGGUGAAAGCCCGGGGCUCAACCCCGGGUCGGCCGUGCGGACUGCCGGGCUGGAGCACUGUAGAGGCAGGUGGAAUUCCGGGUGUAGCGGUGGAAUGCGUAGAUAUCGGGAGGAACACCAGUGGCGAAGGCGACUACCUGGCCUGUUCUUGACGCUGAGGCGCGAAAGCUAGGGGAGCAAACGGGG
rnacentral:rRNA from 1 species